rnacentral:tRNA from 1 species
UGGGGAUUGGCGUAACAGGAGCGCGGCGGUUUCUGAAACCGCAGACGAAGGGGCGGCACCUUCAUCCCCAACCA